GAGGCGUUAUUCGAAGUCGACCAGACGACAAUUGCUUCCCCCUCCCCUCCGCGACGCGACGCCUCACCUAUACCCUCCACCUCGCGAGGCACCGUCGCUUCGCCGACAUCUGAGUUGCCAGUGGUCAUAAUUGGCCAGAGAAGGGGUCGUGGCGGACGCAGACGAGGAAGUGGGCGUGGUAGCCGU